rnacentral:rRNA from 1 species
ACUAUUGGAAACGAUAGCUAAUACCGCAUAACAAUGGGUGACUCAUGUCAUUUAUUUGAAAGGGGCAAAUGCUCCACUACAAGAUGGACCUGCGUUGUAUUAGCUAGUAGGUGAGGUAACGGCUCACCUAGGCGACGAUACAUAGCCGACCUGAGAGGGUGAUCGGCCACACUGGGACUGAGACACGGCCCAGACUCCUACGGGAGGCAGCAGUAGGGAAUCUUCGGCAAUGGGGGCAACCCUGACCGAGCAACGCCGCGUGAGUGAAGAAGGUUUUCGGAUCGUAAAGCUCUGUUGUAAGUCAAGAACGAGUGUGAGAGUGGAAAGUUCACACUGUGACGGUAGCUUACCAGAAAGGGACGGCUAACUACGUGCCAGCAGCCGCGGUAAUACGUAGGUCCCGAGCGUUGUCCGGAUUUAUUGGGCGUAAAGCGAGCGCAGGCGGUUUGAUAAGUCUGAAGUUAAAGGCUGUGGCUCAACCAUAGUUCGCUUUGGAAACUGUCAAACUUGAGUGCAGAAGGGGAGAGUGGAAUUCCAUGUGUAGCGGUGAAAUGCGUAGAUAUAUGGAGGAACACCGGUGGCGAAAGCGGCUCUCUGGUCUGUAACUGACGCUGAGGCUCGAAAGCGUGGGGAGCGAACAGGAUUAGAUACCCUGGUAGUCCACGCCGUAAACGGUGGAUGCUGGAUGUGGGGCCCGUUCCACGGGUUCCGUGUCGGAGCUAACGCGUUAAGCAUCCCGCCUGGGGAGUACGGCCGCAAGGCUAAAACUCAAAGAAAUUGACGGGGGCCCGCACAAGCGGCGGAGCAUGCGGAUUAAUUCGAUGCAACGCGAAGAAC